AAAAUGGCAAGCCCUGAUUCUGGUUUUUCUUAAUCUGCUAUAAUUUUGUGGCCAUCUUUAUCACCUUUCAGCACACAAUACAAUCUUCAUAUGAUAUUUCUUGUGUUUUGUCUAUCUCUACCUAUUAGUAUAUAAACUUUUUUUUUUUUUUUUUUGAGAGACAGAGUCUCACUCUGAUGUCCAGGCUGGAGUGUGGUGGCACGAUCUCUGCUCACUGCAACCUCUGCCUCCUGGGUUCAAGCAAUUCUCUGCCUCAGCCUCCCAAGCAGCUAGGAUUACACGCAUGCACCACCACGCCUGGCUAAUUUUUGUAUUUUUAGUAGAGACGGGAUUUCACCAUGUUGGCCAGGCUGGUCUUGAACUCCUGACCUCGUGAUCGACCUGCCUCAGCCUCCCAAAGUGCUGGAAUUACAGGCAUGAGCCACCAUGCCUGGCCUCAUAUAAAUUCUUAAAAGGGGAGUGAUCUUGUCUGUUCUAUUUUUCGAGCAUUCAGAACAGUACUUGGUAUACUGUAUAUACACAACAAAUACAUUAUUAUGUAACUCAGUAAGUUUGCAAUGUAUGAGUCAUAUAUUACUGAAGGACAGAGAAAAUAUCACAUCUCUCCUACCCACAGAUACUUAUAAGCAAUCAGGGAGUUAGACAACAGAUGCAAAUUAUUAUUUUUAAUCAUUAAGAGAAUAUGUAACAGCAAGAAGUUUAGCCAGCGCUCUUCUGGUUGCAAGUCAUAGAAAUUCACUCAAAUUAGUUUAAGGAAAGAAGAGAAAAGAUUUACUUGUUAACAUAACUGAAUAGCACAAAAAGAAAGCUAGCUCCAGGCGUGCUAGGUAUAGGGGCCUUACGAUUGUCCUCGGAACUUACUGAUUUCUCCCUUCAUCUCUCAAAUCUGCUUUCCUCUGAAAGAGCUUUGGUUGGCCGGGCAUGGUGGCUCACGCUUGUAAUCAUGCCCGCACUUUGGGAGGCCGAGGCAGGAGAAUGGCGUGAACCCGGGAGGCGGAGCUUGCAGUGAGCCGAGAUCGCGCCACUGCACUCCAGCCUGGGCGACAGAGCGAGACUCCGUCUCAAAAAAAAAAAAAAAAAGAACAUCAGCGUUCUUCCCUUUUAUUCUCUACACUGAAGCAUCCAUCCAUCUGGGGCAAAUUUUCGUUUCUCAUAGAUCUAGUAUUUCUCUUUUUGCCCCCCUCUAUUCCUCUGCUGUUACAAUCUUUCUUCUUGGGUUCAUCCAACACCUGAAAAACCUUCCUAAAAAACUGUUUAGUUGGCCAGGCACAGUGGCUCAGGCCUGUAAUCCCAGCACUUUGGGAGGCCAACGCGGGCGGAUCACCUGAGGUCAGGAGUUUGAGACCAGCCUGGCCAACAUGGCAAAACCCUGUCCCUACUGAAAUUACAAAAAUGGGCUGGGCGUGGUGGCGUGCGCCUGUAAAAAAAAAAUUAAGAGCACUUAAUAGUCAUAGUUUUCACUUUGCUUAUAUACAGUGUGUGUGUGUGUAUAUAUAUAUAUCUUUUAACUCCCAUUCUACUAAAUUUACCUAAUGUUCUACAUAGAAAAUUUCAUGUAUAUUGUUUAUCAUCUUUCAAGAGUGAAUUAAACACAUGAAUAGUUUCUCAUGAAAAGGAAUAUUGAUUGGUACAGAUGUAUAAGUAUAAUGGCUAGUUGCUCAGAUCAUCAACUAAACCUAAAACAUGUGU
ensembl:lncRNA